UUUCAUCCCUAGCAUAUUCAUCCCCGAGGAAGGCAGUCGCCGAAUUCACCGAAGGUUGUUUACUGGUUAUAUUGUGAUUGAGAGGGAGCGAAAACUAAUGAAAUAAAAACAGCGUAAAGUGUGGAGUACGGUUUUGCGCCCGUCCCAGUAUUGUACGCGUGUAACCUAAG